rnacentral:rRNA from 1 species
CAGCAGCCGCGGUAAUACGUAGGUGGCAAGCGUUAUCCGGAAUUAUUGGGCGUAAAGCGCGCGUAGGCGGUUUUUUAAGUCUGAUGUGAAAGCCCACGGCUCAACCGUGGAGGGUCAUUGGAAACUGAAAAACUUGAGUGCAGAAGAGGAAAGUGGAAUUCCAUGUGUAGCGGUGAAAUGCGCAGAGAUAUGGAGGAACACCAGUGGCGAAGGCGACUUUCUGGUCUGUAACUGACGCUGAUGUGCGAAAGCGUGGGGAUCAAACAGGAUUAGAUACCCCAGUAGUCCCUGUCUCUUAUAC